ACAUCUCUCUCCACUACAGUUGCCUUUUGGCUUAGAUCAAGUGUAGUAUCUGUUCUUUUCAGUUUAAUAUCUGAAAGUUCUCUAAGGAGAACAAUCAAUAUUAAUCUAAUUUUUAUCACCCGGGUGCGGUCCUCUGUGCUUGCGCAUGAUCGCCGCCCACCGUGUCCCUGGUAUUACACUGCCUCCAGGCGACGCGAACCCUUC
rfam:Microdochium bolleyi strain J235TASD1 unplaced genomic scaffold Micbo1qcscaffold_7, whole genome shotgun sequence.